rnacentral:rRNA from 1 species
AGUGAACGCUGGCGGCGUGCCUAAUACAUGCAAGUCGAACGAAGUGGCGCACGGGUGAGUAAUAUAUAGUUAAUCUGCCCUCCACAGAGGAACAACAGUUGGAAACGACUGCUAAUACCUCAUAGUGUAGGAUGAGACUAUAUCGUAUCAGCUAGUUGGUAAGGUAAUGGCUUAUCAAGGCUAUGAUGCGUAACUGGUCUGAGAGGAUGAUCAGUCACAUUGGAGCUAAGACACAGUCCGAACUCCUACGGGAGGCAGCAGUAAGGAAGAGUGCGCAAUGGGGGAAACCCUGACGCAGCAACGCCGCGUGGGGGAUGACACUUUGCGGGGCGUAAACUCCUUUGAACAGGAAAGCGGUACCGGAUGAAUAAGCAACGGCUAACUACGUGCCAGCAGCCGCGGUAAUAC